rnacentral:rRNA from 1 species
AUUGAACGCUGGCGGCAGGCCUAACACAUGCACGUCGAGCGAGCGGCGGACGGGUGAGUAAUGUCUGGGAAACUGCCUGAUGGAGGGGGAUAACUACUGGAAACGGUAGCUAAUACCGCAUACCAUCAGCUUUGCCCAGAUGGGCUUAGCUAGUAGGUGGGGUAACGGCUCACCUAGGCGACGAUCCCUAGCUGGUCUGAGAGGAUGACCAGCAACACGUGAAUUGAGACCCGGUCCAGACUCCUACGGGAGGCCGCAGUUGGGAAUAUUGCACAAUGUGCUCAAUCCUGAUGCAGCAAUGCCGCGUGUGUGAAGAAGGCCUUCGGGUUGUAAAGCACUUUCAGCGGGGAGGCGUUACCCGCAGAAGAAGCACCGGCUAACUCCGUGCCAGCAGCCGCGGUAAUAC